rnacentral:rRNA from 1 species
GACGAACGCUGGCGGCGUGCCUAAUACAUGCAAGUAGAACGCACAGUUUAUACCGUAGCUUGCUACACCAUAGACUGUGAGUUGCGAACGGGUGAGUAACGCGUAGGUAACCUGCCUGGUAGCGGGGGAUAACUAUUGGAAACGAUAGCUAAUACCGCAUAAUAUUGAUUAUUGCAUGAUAAUUGAUUGAAAGAUGCUAUUGCAUCACUACCAGAUGGACCUGCGUUGUAUUAGCUAGUAGGUGAGGUAACGGCUCACCUAGGCGACGAUACAUAGCCGACCUGAGAGGGUGAUCGGCCACACUGGGACUGAGACACGGCCCAGACUCCUACGGGAGGCAGCAGUAGGGAAUCUUCGGCAAUGGACGAAAGUCUGACCGAGCAACGCCGCGUGAGUGAAGAAUGUUUUCGGAUCGUAAAGCUCUGUUGUAAGAGAAGAACGGGUGUGAGAGUGGAAAGUUCACACUGUGACGGUAUCUUACCAGAAAGGGACGGCUAACUACGUG